GAUCCUGGCUCAGGACGAACGCUGGCGGCGUGCUUAACACAUGCAAGUCGAACGAGAGGACAAGAGAAGCUUGCUUCUUUUGGAAUCGAGUGGCAAACGGGUGAGUAACACGUAAACAACCUGCCUUCAGGAUGGGGACAACAGACGGAAACGACUGCUAAUACCGAAUACGCUUGGGAGACCGCAUGAUCUUCCAAGGAAAGGGUGGCCUCUACCUGUAAGCUAUCGCCUGAAGGGGGGUUUNCGU
rnacentral:rRNA from 1 species